CGCGUGAAGCCCUAAUAAUUAAGGGAGUAUUUUUAGAAGAUGCCUAGAACCCAAGCUAUCCAACCCCUCUAGCCCCCCCAUAGAAAAUCAUUCAAAAAAUAUUAGAAAAUUCUAUAAAAUCCAAAUUCCUUAAGAAAAUUCCUUCGAAAUCAGAAAGCCUAGAGAAUUAGGGAAAACAAUAAAAAAUCCUAUGAAAAUCUCUACAAUCUAAAAACCCUAGGAAACUCUUAAGGAAAAUCCCUUACGACUUCCUCUAACCUAAACCCUAGAUCUAGGAAUUCUCUACAUGCCAAAUUUUCCACUAAAUAUUAUCUAUAAAAUCCAUAAAAUAAAGAUAGGAACAAGAUCUUAUACGUCCCCAAAUCUUUAAGGCGAAGGAGAAGGGAUAGAGGUAUAAACAACCGCCAUCCUGACACAAGCUCCAACUCCGAGUUCUUCAACUCUAUUUCAGACGUAUUACGGAAAGUGAUCUUGUGAUUCUCCAAGGCUUGUAUCAUCCUUCUUGAGGCCAUAAGUUCAUAAGAAAUAAAAAUAAAGAUUGAAACGUGCUACCGCAAGCUCGAGCGGACAAAAGGAGCAUCACUGUCGAGGGCCCAAGUAACUCCCUAAGGAGUAUGAGUAACACUCAAAGCACCGUAGCUGAUGAGCAACAAUGAUUGGCCUUUAAUUUGAUAUCUAAUUGAUUUUUUGAUA